GAUGAAGAACGUAGCGAAAUGCGAUAAGUAGUGUGAAUUGCAGAAUUCAGUGAAUCAUCGAAUCUUUGAACGCACAUUGCGCCCUUUGGUAUUCCUUAGGGCAUGCCUGUUCGAGCGUCAUUUAAACCUUCAAGCUAAGCUUGGUGUUGGGUGACUGUCCGCUUCACGGCGGACUCGCCUCAAAAUUAUUGGCGGCCGGUACAUUGGCUUCGAGCGCAGCAGAAACGCGAACUCGGGCCCGUCGUAUUGGCUCCCAGAAGCUAUCUUCACAAUUUUGACCUCGGAUCAGGUAGGGAUACCCGCUGACCUUAAGCAUAUCAAUAAGCGGAGGA
rnacentral:misc_RNA from 1 species